ACUCAAAUGAAUUGACGGGGGCCCGCACAAGCGGUGGAACAUGUGGUUCAAUUCGACGCAACGCGAAGAACCUUACCUGGGCUUGAACCGCUACGGACCAGCGAUAGAAAUAUUGCCUUCCCGCAAGGGACCGUAGUAGAGGUGCUGCAUGGCUGUCGUCAGCUCGUGCCGUGAGGUGUUGGGUUAAGUCCCGCAACGAGCGCAACCCUUACUCGUAGUUGCUACCCGCAAGGGAGAACUCUACGAGGACUGCUCCGGAUAACGGAGAGGAAGGUGGGGAUGACGUCAAGUCAGCACGGCCUUUAUGUCCAGGGCUACACACGUGUUACAAUGCAUGGUACAGACUGUUGCGAACCCGCGAGGGGGAGCUAAUCGGCCAAAGCCAUGCUCAGUUCGGAUUGCAGUCUGCAACUCGACUGCAUGAAGCUGGAAUCGCUAGUAAUGGCGCAUCAGAUCGGCGCCGUGAAUACGUUCCCGGGCCUUGCACACACCGCCCGU
rnacentral:rRNA from 1 species